UCAGGCGUCGAGCGGCGGACGGGUGAGUAAUACUUAGGAAUCUACCUAGUAGUGGGGGAUAGCUCGGGGAAACUCGAAUUAAUACCGCAUACGACCUACGGGAGAAAGGGGGCAACUUGUUGCUCUCGCUAUUAGAUGAGCCUAAGUCGGAUUAGCUAGAUGGUGGGGUAAAGGCCUACCAUGGCGACGAUCUGUAGCUGGUCUGAGAGGAUGAUCAGCCACACCGGGACUGAGACACGGCCCGGACUCCUACGGGAGGCAGCGGUGGGGAAUAUUGGACAAUGGGGGAAACCCUGAUCCAGCCAUGCCGCGUGUGUGAAGAAGGCCUUUUGGUUGUAAAGCACUUUAAGCAGUGAAGAAGACUCUUCGGUUAAUACCCGGAGACGAUGACAUUAGCUGCAGAAUAAGCACCGGCUAACUCUGUGCCAGCAGCCGCGGUAAUACAGAGGGUGCAAGCGUUAAUCGGAAUUACUGGGCGUAAAGCGCGCGUAGGUGGUUAGUUAAGUUGGAUGUGAAAUCCCCGGGCUCAACCUGGGA
rnacentral:rRNA from 1 species